rnacentral:misc_RNA from 1 species
UCAUCGGCCUUCAUUUUCCAUUCCCCUUAUGAUUCCAUAAUUGGUUGUCCAAAUGAUUAGGUUCAACUUAUAGGAACCAUAGUCUUUUUUGGGUAUUACGGUCUAAUUUUAUGUGGAAGUUCUACAUAUAAUAGGCACUAAUAUGCAAUUGGCAUUGGAUUUUUCAUAAGUUGGCAAACCAUGUAGCAGAGAAAAAUGCAAGAAUAGAAAUAAAGUAAUGGGUACUACUGCAGGGCAAGUGCUUGACAUCGAUAUGAUUGCAUAAAAUGUACAGGAAGUAUAUAGUGAUUUAG